rnacentral:rRNA from 1 species
UACGGAGGGUGCAAGCGUUAUCCGGAUUCACUGGGUUUAAAGGGUGCGUAGGUGGGCAGGUAAGUCCGUGGUGAAAUCUCUGAGCUUAACUCAGAAACUGCCGUGGAUACUAUUUGUCUUGAAUGUUGUGGAGGUGAGCGGCAAUAUGUCAUGUAGCGGUGAAAUGCUUAGAUAUGACAUAGAACACCAAUUGCGAAGGCAGCUCACUACACAAUUAUUUGACGCUGAGGCACGAAAGCGUGGGGAGUCAAACAG